UGUUGGGGUUGUAGGACACUCUAUACGGAGUUACAAAGGACGACAUUAGACGAAUCAUCUGGAAAGAUGAAUCAAAGAAGGUAAUAAUCCUGUAGUCGAAAAUGUUGUCUCUCUUGAGUGGAUCCUGAGUACGACGGAGCACGUGAAAUUCCGUCGGAAUCUGGGAGGACCAUCUCCUAAGGCUAAAUACUCUCUAGUGACCGAUAGUGAACCAGUACCGUGAGGGAAAGGUGAAAAGCACCCCGGAAGGGGAGUGAAAUAGAACCUGAAACCGUGUGCUUACAAGUAGUCAGAGCCCGUUAAUGGGUGAUGGCGUGCCUUUUGUAGAAUGAACCGGCGAGUUACGAUUUGAUGCAAGGUUAAGCAGUAAAUGUGGAGCCGUAGCGAAAGCGAGUCUGAAUAGGGCGUUUAGUAUUUGGUCGUAGACCCGAAACCAGGUGAUCUACCCUUGGUCAGGUUGAAGUUCAGGUAACACUGAAUGGAGGACCGAACCGACUUACGUUGAAAAGUGAGCGGAUGAACUGAGGGUAGCGGAGAAAUUCCAAUCGAACCUGGAGAUAGCUGGUUCUCUCCGAAAUAGCUUUAGGGCUAGCCUCAAGUGAUGAUUAUUGGAGGUAGAGCACUGUUUGGACGAGGGGCCCCUCUCGGGUUACCGAAUUC
rnacentral:rRNA from 1 species